UAGUUGUGGGGAAACUUAUGGUGGGAGGUGGUGAGGAGUGAGAGGCCCUUCUCUUCCUAUCAGCCAUCUGGUCACCCUACAUAAGAGAAACUAACUUGGAAACUAGAUACUGGACAUGUACAAGAAUGAGGAACUCGAAUACGAGCUUGGAUCAAAAUCUGAGUUCUGUGCGUGAUGAGAGACGUCUAAAUAAAGAUUUUAUCCCCUGCGGAAUUUUUCAAAUAAUUUAUUGCCGUUAAUUACUGGAACAGGGAUCAAAUCUUGACCGUUGGACUACCAAAAGUCGACUAAACGUUGUACCUAGUAAUUCAUCUGUUUGAUUGAUAUUUUUUGUAAGUCUCAUUCUUCAUGAUCGUUAAACCAGUGAAUAGUUUUAAGAAUAAUCAUAAUUGAAGUGAUCUAGUCAAGUGUUUUUAUUCUUAGGCCAAAAAUAACGAAAAUAAUGCGUAGAGAUAGAGAAUGGUCUCUCAAAGCACGAAUAUUCUCGUCCACAUAUUAAGAAAUUUUCUAAUUUUUAUCGCAAAACCUCGAAUUCUAUAGUGUGACUUGCACUUGUACAUUGAAAUAUAAUAAUCACAUCAUCAGUUCAUUAUCAAGCGAAUCCAUUGUCUUGUAAACUGUAGAAAAAGUAGAUCAAGUAAUUUUUAAUCGAAUAUAGCAUAUUUUGAGAUAAAUAUAUAUCUCUUUUUAAAUUAUAUUGUCUACUUACGAGAAUGCCGAACAAAUGGUCCAAUGAGUCAUUAGGUAACUCAGUAAAAGCCAAAAAUUAUUAUUAUUAUUAUUAUUAUUAUUAUUAUUAUUAUUACUAUUAUUACUAUUAUGUAAAUCCAAAGGAUAAGUAUAUAUUGUAUUAGCGAAUAGAUUCUACGUCAUUGUUUUUACUGUAAUAAUGUUAUCAAGAAUAAGUUAUUAUUUCAUCCUGAUUACAGUAACAAGAAGCCAGAUGUGAAAUAAAGAGACUUCGUUUAAGAUGAACCCUUAAACUUUGACUUAAAUAUUACAACUUAAAUUUGCUUAUGAGACCCCUAAAUUGUCCUGGUGAAAAAUAAAUAAUUUUCUUGUAUCCUCAA